rnacentral:misc_RNA from 1 species
GAUGAAGAACGUAGUGAAAUGCGAUAAGUAAUGUGAAUUGCAGAAUUCAGUGAAUCAUCGAAUCUUUGAACGCACAUUGCGCCCGCUAGUAUUCUGGCGGGCAUGCCUGUCCGAGCGUCAUUUCAACCCUCAAGCCCCCGGGCUUGGUGUUGGGGAUCGGCGAGCCUCCGCGCCCGCCGUCCCCUAAAUCUAGUGGCGGUCUCGCUGUAGCUUCCUCUGCGUAGUAGCACACCUCGCACUGGGAAACAGCGCGGCCACGCCGUUAAACCCCCAACUUCUGAAAGUUUGACCUCGGAUCAGGUAGGAAUACCCGCUGAACUUAAGCAUAUCAAUAAGCGGAGGA